UACGUAGGUGGCAAGCGUUGUCCGGAUUUGUUGAGCGUAAAGCGAGCGCAGGCGGUUCCUUAAGUCUGAUGUGAAAGCCCACGGCUCAACCGUGGAAGGUCAUUGGAAACUGGGGAACUUGAGUGCAGAAGAGGAGAGUGGAAUUCCAUGUGUAGCGGUGAAAUGCGUAGAUAUAUGGAGGAACACCAGUGGCGAAGGCGACUCUCUGGUCUGUAACUGACGCUGAGGCUCGAAAGCGUGGGGAGCAAACAGGAUUA
rnacentral:rRNA from 1 species